CCGGCCACUCCUUGGUUGUCCCCAUUAUGGAAAGCCCCCGUACCUCUAAAGAUUAAGAUCUUUGUUGGGCAAUUACUACGAGACCGCCUCCCCUCGGUGUCUGAGGUUCUUAAGCGGCAUGGACCUGGUGAUGGUCUAUGCCCUCUCUGUGCGGUACCAGAGACUGGGACCCAUAUCCUAUUCUCGUGUACCACAGCGAGGGUUCUUUGGACGUAUGUCCAUGAGGCCUUGGGGCCCUAA
rnacentral:rRNA from 1 species